rnacentral:ncRNA from 1 species
ACCGAUUUGGUCCUAGUCCUUCCCUCAACUUUCUCCAGGAUGAUACAUGCAAAGCCCUCAAUUCUACGGUGAGCUCAAUCUGCUUCUGGUCUCCCCCGAGAUACCAGAACACCAAAAAUAGCAUCAGGUUACCGCCUAUCGUAACCCAAGACGCUAAGGCCAGCCAAACAAAAAUAGCCCACACCUGCAGUACUUGACAUUACACAAUAAGCGCUAGCUUGAUGUAGCCAUAGAGGAAAAAACCGGUAAAUUAUGUGCCAGCCACCGCGGUUAUACAUAAGAUUUUAGUUGAGGGCCUCGGUAAAAAGGUGAUAAAACAGCACCAGAGUCCUCGCCCCCUCAAGCAGUAGUAAGCUAACAGGACCCUAAGAACUAUCCUACCAAACCCUGCCCUAUCCAAACCCUUAAGAUUCAUCACCAAAGCUCAAAGAUAAACUGGGAUUAGAUACCCCAUUAUAUGAGCCCUAAAACAACUUAAGCACCUGAGAACUACGAACAAAAGUUUAAAACUCAAAGGACUUGGCGGUUUUCUAGACCUCCCUGGAGGAGCUUGCUAUCUAACCGAUAACCCACGAAACACCUCACCAGCCUUUGCAAACCGCAGCCUGUAUACCAUCGUCGUCAGUCUACCCUUUAAAGACAGUAUACCUAAUGGAGUGAUCUCCAUAUCCUCCUCCACGUCGGAUCGAGGUGCAGCUAAUAGGCCGGGGAUAAGUGAGCUACAAUAACUAAUCAACACACCCUUUAAGCCAACAUAUGGACAAGCCCAUGAAAACCGGGACUCAAAACAGGAUUCAGCAGUAACGCCUACAAGGGAAUAGGUGUGAAGCACACAGCUCUAGAAUGCGCACACAUCGCCCGUCACUCUCGUCUACAGAGGAGAAAAGUCGUAACAAAGUAGGCGUAUUGGAAAAUGCGCCUGGUACAA